rnacentral:lncRNA from 1 species
UUUUUGCAGUGUUCUCAUUUGCCUGGACACCACCAGCGAAAGAUUAUGGGCAUUAGGGUGACCCAAGCUAGCAAUUGCAUAUUAACAUAUGUAAUGAACAAGAGCGGUGCACAGAGAGGGGGAAGCAAGUCAGGAUUGCGUCAUGCAGACGAUCUUCCAAGCUUUGAUAACAGACUGGACUAAUCCUGUCUUUGGUGCUUUAUCCCCAGGUGAGACCGGCGCAAUUUGCUUGGUGGCAGCUGCGGAGCCAGAGGUCUCGAAAGCUGUAUCAGAUGUGUCCUGGUACCUGCGCAGCUCCUUGGUUCGGUAGCCCAAGAAAGUCAUGACUUAUGCGAGGAGAAAUGCCAAAGCGGCGGUGAUGCUGCUGAGCGUGGAUUUCCAUCGUCUCCAUCCAGUUGUGAAGAAAGAUGGCUAGAAGUGAAAUAAGGCCAGUAUUUGCUUGUUGUGUUUAUGCUAUGCUAAGGGGCCUGUUUUUUCCCUUUGGGGUCUGCGUGUUUCAUUAGCAGAGUUUUGCAGCAAGGAGGGAUAAUUGAAUAUAUUUUGGGCUGCAACAAGGAGUUCUUCCCUCUAAUACAAUCUUGUUUUUCAGUUUUCACUCUCAGCUUGCUGACAACAUGAUAAAAGAUACCGUGGUGCGUGUGGCUUGUUAAAUAGGCCCUUUACUUCCGAAGAUAGGUGGCAGCAUCUCAAGGAGAAAUUUCCUUCUGACGCUUGGUGGCAGCUAAAAGCUUAGACUGCAGCUCUGUCCCGUCACGGAGACGGGCAUAUGCGAAGCAUCUCCAAGCUCUUUCUCUAUGGUUUAGCAGUCCCAGAAGAGGAUCUGGUUCUAAGUGAAGCUGAGAAUCCUUUGCUCAUGUGGCCGAAGAAACCCAGGAUUUACGAGAGCGCAGCAUCGCAGUGCUGCUGCGAGAGCCAGCAGCGCUGCCGGGGAACAGUCGGCUCCCACGGCCUCCCUGGACCGAGCGGCUCCAUUUAUCGAGGGAAACACAAAUGCUUCUGCAGGGAUCCGUGUUCAUUCCUGCGUGGUAAGUGAGUUCAGGGAGCCGGGAAAAGGUAAUUUAAGGGGGCUCCUUUGCUUAGCAGUGGUACCAGCUCUCUCAGGUUUACUGGCUUGGUGGCAUUUGGCACCAGUGCCAUGAAUCUUGGAGAAAUCUGAGUCUGUCAAAGUGCCUUAAGUGUGUGA